rnacentral:lncRNA from 1 species
CCAGAUGCUUUGAUCCUUUAGCUUGACAGAUCGACAUUUGUAUCAGUGAUGACCCGAUGAGUGGCCUUGGUCGUUUUCAGUUCUUCUUUGAUCUUGUCGAUAUCCUUCCGAAGGCAUUCAUUGUUGAAGAGAGCAAUAUCAAGAUUGUUUCUUUCUUUUGCCAACACAGACUUCCGGAUGGCGUUAUCUUUUCGGCAUUCUCUUCGGUAUCUUCUUCGGCUUCUUUAUAUUUGAGACGGGGUACCCGGAGACAGUGUUUACUUGCAGAUGACUAAUAUUAAUCAAUCAGUUCAGAUUGAUGGUCGAAUCUCAACUUCCUUUAGUCUGGUAUUUCACUCCUUCACCCAUCAAUUCCAUGAUGGAAAUUAUUGCCGAACCGAUGAUCAUCGGUGUCGCCACAGCUUCGGGCCAUGGUUUUUGUGGCGAAGGUCUGAGUCGUUCGGGAG